AUGAACGCUAGCGACAGGCCUAACACAUGCAAGUCGAGGGGCGAUCGGGGCGUAGCAAUACGCUGCCGGCGACCGGCGGAUGGGUGAGUAACGCGUAUGCAACCUACCUUCAGCAGGGGGAUAGCCCGUUGAAAGACGGAUUAAUACCCCAUAACACAGGGGCUCCGCAUGGAGAUUAUUGUUAAAGGGAUGCUUCCUUCGGGGAGUAUCCGGCUGCAGAUGGGCAUGCGUUCCAUUAGGUAGUUGGUUGAGGUAACGGCUCACCAAGCCUACGAUGGAUAGGGGAACUGAGAGGUUGGUCCCCCACACUGGUACUGAGACACGGACCAGACUCCUACGGGAGGCAGCAGUGAGGAAUCUUGGUCAAUGGACGGAAGUCUGAACCAGCCAUGUCGCGUGAAGGAGGACGGCCCUAAGGGUUGUAAACUUCUUUUGCAGGGGAAUAAAGUAUUCUACGAGAUGGGAUAUUGCAAGUACGCUGCGAAUAAGGAUCGGCUAACUCCGUG
rnacentral:rRNA from 1 species